rnacentral:tRNA from 1 species
GGCGGGAUAGCUCAGUUGGUUAGAGCGCAGGACUCAUAAGCCUGAGGUCAGUGGUUCGAUUCCACUUCCCGCUACCA